AGGAGGAGUAGUAAUUUUUUCCUGCCUUUAAAAUACACAGCAUUUCUCUCUCGACUGAAAAUUCCAUAAACCCUACAAUCUUCCGCACACCCUAGGCAGGUUACAUCUAUUUCUUUCUUGAAUCUCUUUUCUCUUCAUGGAAUCAAUCUGGAAUAUUUAAUGGCGGACGAGUCGUCGUUCCACGAAGAAUUCGCUGAUGCUGACAAUGCGGAUUCCGACGAGCUCAAUCAAAGGAUCAAUGAUCUCGAGGAGGAGAACACUAAGAUCGUCAAGGAAUACAAGCAACAAAUAGAUGAGCUGAAGGCAUCUGUUGAGAAAUUGGAAUCCGAGAAUGCGGAUUUGAAGAAUCAAACAGAGAACGCGCAAUCGGACAACAAGGCGUUUGGUGCUGUGGCUGCGCGCGCCGCGGAUCUCGAAGGCGAGGUGUCGAGGCUGCAUCACGAUUUGGCGACCGCGAUGAUCGAUUUGCAGGAAUUGCCUGGAUUGAAGAGCGAAUUGGAGGGGAUGAAAGGGAGGGCGGUGGAGAAAGAUGUGAAGCUGGAUGCGGCAGAGAGGGAGAAGGCGUUGCUGGUGGUGGAACUGGAUGCUAGGGAUAAGCAGAUCCAGGUUUUCAAGAAGAAUGUGGAGGAAUUGGAAGCUGUGGUGGGCAAGGGCAAGGGCAAGGGCAAGGGCAAGGGUUCUGCGGAGAAGGAUGGUUUGGCGAUGAAGGUGGAGAAGAUGAAGGCUGAAAUCAGCGUUCUGCAAAGCUGUUUGGAUGAUAAGGAGAAUUUGAUCAAGGAGCUCGAGCGUCACGGCAAUGAUAGCCUUGGAAAGAGAGGGUUGGUUUGUGGCCUGAGGCAAAGGGAGUGGAUGCUUGUGGGUGGCUCGGCCAUUGCUACUGCUGCUGUAAUGGUGGGGUACAUACAUGCUGCAAGGAAACAUUGAUUUGUGCUUCUUCAAUGGUAGUAAGCUCCUCGUGAUUCGUGCUGUUUUCAACCAAAAGACCUCUCUCUCUCACACACACAGAGACAGACCAGUUACAAUACAGAAUACAGAUGGGAGUGAACCCUGUUGCUCUACAAACAACACAAAAAUAAAAGAGGAAAAGUGAAUAAAGAGUCUGUCUCACUCUGAAAAUCCCUUUGAACAAAAUGCUGUUUUCCUACUUCCAACUCACUGCUCAGUGCUGUGCUGCACUUCCCCCUCCCUCUCUCUCUCUCUCUCUGAACCAAACACCCCUUGCGCUAUUUGGGUUUUUCUUCAAACUAGUGACUUUGCUCAUGGCGGCAGUGGCACCAUAUUUUCUCAGACCAUGGCCUCUCCUCCCAAAAGGUCUCGAAACCGGUGAGCUGAUGCUCACUUCAGAGAUUUGGAGGAGCAGAACACUACAUUUGGGUGUUUAGUGAAGAUGUAGAUUGAGAAAUUCAUAAUAUCUAAGGUAGGGAAUGAAGCCUUUGGUCCGCAAAAUGCACAACAAAUACUGUAACAUGUUGAUAAUUCCAAUAGUGUGAUUCGAAUGAAACGAAUCAUCUUUCAUGUCUGAGAUUUCUGCUAUUCUAAAAUUUUGCAUUUUUUCAACACACAUUUGUUGUAUCAUUAUCAUAUAUAUGUACUCGUUCACUUGCUUGA